GCUGUAGCUCAGAGGUAAUGUACAUGCUUUGCAUUCAAAAGGUUCCAGGUUCAAUCCCUGGCAUCUGCA